rnacentral:pre_miRNA from 1 species
AUGGAAACCAACAGUCAUUGGUCGCAGGUGCAGCAUCAUCAAGAUUCACAUGCAUUAUAUACAGAGAGUUAAAUCGAAUUUAAACCUACUGACUACCACAAAAGCAAGGCAUAGUUACAUAACAUCUGGAAAAGAGGCUGUGUCUUGUGUUUUGUCUUUGAGUAGGUUUGAAUCGUGAUUCUAUUACGGUGGCUAGUGAGAAUCUUGAUGAUGCUGCAUCAGCGGUAUAUGACUUAAUUAGCUUCAU